GACUGAGUAGAAAUUGGUCAAAUGAGAUACCUAAUAUUUUAAUCAGGAUCUCAAGUGAUAUAAUCUGUUUUUUCCCCUCAUUCAGCAUAGGAAAGUAAAACUAUCACUUCCACUCGAAGUCGUAUCUACAGAUAAGGAGACCAAAGCAUUUAGCUCUCAGAGUGAUGAUGAGGAAGAAAACUGCUUAGGAAAAAAACACACUGAGCAGCACAGUCCAAGUACCCAUACAGCUCACAACUGUACAGAAAAUCAGCAGGAAACAAACUCUUCAUUGUGAAAGCAGGAAUUUCUGAUUGUACUCUUCAUACUUUUGCCAAAAGUAUCGCCACAUAAAUUAAGUCACUUUUUUGUUCUAGUUUUCUUUAAAAAUAUUGAUUUGUGUUACAUAUUUCAAAAAUAUGUGUUUCUAAGCAUUUGUGCUUAGAAACAAAUAGUUGUCCCCAUUUUAUUUUUUAUACUUAAGGUUACUUUUUUUAUAUUAAGUCCAAAUUUAAAUGAUUCAGCUCAUCUCAUCAUUUAACAUCCUUUAUACAGUAUAUUGGACCAUAGGCUAAUCUCUUAAUGUUACACUUUCAUUAUCUAACGUUAAACCAUCACGUGUUUAUACAUCACAUCUUUUUAAAUUAAGAACAUUAACAUGAACACUUUAAAUACAGCUACUGAAAACCUACCCAGCAUAAACAUCUCAUCCUCUCCUGACCAACUAGUAUCUUCACUAUAACAACAAUCUUCAUUUAUAACAACAAUCUUUUAUUUAGAAAAAUAUUCAAAUAUCAAAACAAAAGGAAUGUAAAUGUUUUUAAUCUUUACAACUUUAAAUGUUUGGCAACAACAAUGUUUGUGUUCAUUUAAACAAGACCUGUAAAACUA